GUUGAUACAGUUGAGUACACACCUCUAAAGGAAGAACUGGGUAUCAUUCUGGCUAGUAUGUGGAUGUCAUUUAAAGUGAAAGAGUUAUAUCUAACUCUUGAUGUUCUGUUACUCUUUUUCUACUGAUGAGCAAGCUAUGAUAUCAAGCUUAUUAUCAGGCUGAGAGAAGAAAACAGAAUGGAGUCAGCCUCUGCCUUCAUCUUUAGGCUCUCAGGAGGCAGGAGAACAAUAACAUCUACAUUCCAAUUUAUUCUCAAGCAAGGGACACGUUAACCUAAAUAAAAGAGAACACGGUAUGAUUUUUCUUUCAAGCUGCAAUACAAAGCCAUAUAUUUUCCCAUUACCGUCUCCUUCUCUGGGGACUGAAACUGAAUCUAAUCCUCUGAAGAGAAUGAUUUGGAAGAAGCAAGAGAAAAAACAGCAGUGAAAAAUCAUUCAGUUUUAGAAAUAAGUUGUUUUUAAGUGCUAUAUUUUGAGAUGAUAGACUGAUAUAUAACCAUUAAAGUUAUUUUUAAAAUU